AUGCCUUGUGUAGAUUCAUUUAAAAAGAUCAUUCCCACGGAUCUCUGUGCUGAAAAAAAUAUUAAUAAAAGAUAAGUCAUAAUAGAUGAAGUAAUAGUCGUGAUGGAAGAAUAUGCUGGUUGUGGGCGCGUCCUUCACCCUCAUCCACUUGGAAGAGAAACAAUCAUUUGGCACCGCACUCGCGAUGACAUUGAAACAAGUCGCCGCCGCGCGUGCACUUUUGAAAAGCCUCCUCUUCAGCAAUCGCGUGCAACAAGCGAGCAAGCAAGCCGGCCCUCAUGACAAUUACUUAUUCUCCACCGCCCGCAUCUAGAGAUAUUCACGCAGAUACGAGUCACCCUCUGGUUCCCACCCACCCCCAUUGUGUCUGCGCCGCGCCGUCAUGCCCUCUGCUCACCCCUCGCGCUUGGGGGGCGGCUAUAAAACGCGACUUGUUGCGGCGCCAGGCUCAUUUUCCCACUCCGUCCGACUCGGAGCGGACGGAGCGCUGAAUCACGGUGCUUCCAACAGUCGAUAGCUACCACCCUGGAGGGAUGAACCUUCAGGGUGCAACCACUGGUCCUGAAAGCGUUUGGCUUGCAGAAACACAAUAAUUUUCUCGGCGAAAACCACAAAAAUGAAGACCACUGCGGCUGAACGGCCUUCAGGACCCCAUCAUCACAAUUUUGACAAAAGGAGUUUGUCUUUAUUUCAAUGUUGAGUUUUUGUAUUUUAUUUUUUUGAUGUUUUAAAAUUAUUUUAAUUUCUGUGCCUGUGUUACAUAUUAUUUUAUUUUUCUUUUUGUUUCUUUUUUGAGUUUUUGUAGAGUUUUGUUAGUUUGAACCAUAACAAUGUGUGCCCGUCUAAAAAAUCCAAAAAAAGAGUGUAGAACUGUAAGAAAUAAUCAACGGAUCAAGUUGUGACAAAAAAAAACAUUGGUAAUCCAGGAGUGCCUUAAUCUCUCUGUAAGAGUACGCGCAAAGACGCGAAAGAAACAAAAUGUCAAAUAAAAGGAAUGAAUUUAAUAUGAGAA